AUUUAAAAAUUUACUACUUAAAA
rnacentral:snRNA from 1 species